GCUCGGUUGGUGAAGCUGGAUAUCACACAGAAUUUCUAAUUCUGUAUCAAGGGUUCAAAUCCCUUACUGAGUA
rfam:Lactococcus phage WRP3, complete genome.